rnacentral:rRNA from 1 species
UACGAAGGGGGCUAGCGUUGCUCGGAAUUAUUGGGCGUAAAGAGCUCGUAGGCGGUUUGUCGCGUCUGCUGUGAAAACUCGAGGCUCAACCUCGGGCUUGCAGUGGGUACGGGCAGACUAGAGUGCGGUAGGGGUGACUGGAAUUCCUGGUGUAGCGGUGGAAUGCGCAGAUAUCAGGAGGAACACCGAUGGCGAAGGCAGGUCACUGGGCCGCAACUGACGCUGAGGAGCGAAAGCAUGGGGAGCGAACAGG